GACGUAGGGUGCGAGCGUUGUCCGGAUUUAUUGGGCGUAAAGAGCUCGUAGGCGGCUCGUCGCGUCGACCGUGAAAACCCGCGGCUUAACUGCGGGCUUGCGGUUGAUACGGGCGGGCUAGAGUUCGGUAGGGGAGACUGGAAUUCCUGGUGUAGCGGUGAAAUGCGUAGAUAUCAAGAGGAACACCUGAGGCGAAGGCGGGUUGCUAGGCUGACACUGACGCUGAAGCGCGAAAGCCAGGGGAGCAAACGGG
rnacentral:rRNA from 1 species